GAUGAAGAACGUAGCGAAAUGCGAUAAGUAAUGUGAAUUGUAGAAUUCCGUGAAUCAUCGAAUCUUUGAACGCACAUUGCGCCCUCUGGUAUUCCGGGGGGCAUGCCUGUCCGAGCGUCAUUUGCAACCCUCAAGCCCGGCUUGUGUGAUGGGUGCCGUCCCCUACGGGACGCGCCCCGAAGGCAAUGGCGGCGUCGCGGUUAUCCGAUCAGCCAAAGUGUAUGGGGCUUUGUCACUCACUUUACGGCCCGGACCGGCGCCAGUCCGAAUCAAUCUUUUUUCUAAAGUUGACCUCGGAUCAGGUAGGGAUACCCGCUGAACUUAAGCAUAUCAAUAAGCGGAGGA
rnacentral:misc_RNA from 1 species